AACGUGGGGAGACCCUGUCCCUACAAAUAUAAAAAAAAAUUAGCCAGGCGUGGUAGCAUACACCUGUGGUCCCAGCUACUCCUGUGGAGGUUGAGGCAGAAGGGCUGCCUGGGGCAUGACGGUGCCACUGCACUCCAGCCUGAGUGACAGAGCAAGACCCUGUCUCAAAAACAAAUAAAAUAAAAAUAAAAAAUGACAAUAAAGCCAUGGAUACAAGAAUCUCAUUAGAAAAACUUGGCAAAGAGUAUAUAAAAGUUUCCUCCCAACCGGGCAUGGUGGCACAUGCCUGUGAUCCCAGCUACUCAGGAGGCUGAGGCAGGAGAAUAGCUUGAACCCGGGAGACAGAGGUUGCAGUGAGCCGAGAUCACACCACUGCACUCCAGCCUGGGCUACAGAGUGAGACUCUGCCUCAAAAAAAAAAAAAAAAAUUAUCCAAUUGGGGCCGGCAGUUAAUUGAAAGAGCUGGUCAAAGCAACUUUUGUUAAAGAACACCUAAGUUCUCUACACAUCUAUUACUUUUUUACAUAUCUCACAUUAAAUGGAAACAUAUAACUAUUCCUUGGCUGGCCUUCCUGGCCUUUUCUCUGAGUGUGGGCUUGCCAACCAGAGCUCCUGUAUUGUUAUUUUCUAGUUUUGGUUUCUUUAAAGCAGAACAAAAACUUAAAGUCAUUGGAACUUAAAGGCAAAGGAAUCUGGGUGUGAAAACCUCCUGGGUUUUUACAAAAUGUCCCUGAUGUUUAGUUAUCAUGUCUGCAUCUUUUUCAACAGGAACAUUAUCUGAGUGAUUCCAAAGUCAUCCCAAAGUGGUCAGUAGGUAUUUCUAGAAAGAAUUUCUUUCACCACUCGCUCUGAGGUGCAGCACAAGUGCUUCAGAGCUCAGACUGUGUGCUGCUGGAUUCAAACUCCAACUCAGUUACUUAGUAGCUGAUGACAUUGGCUAAGUUAUUUAACCUCUCUGUGCCCGUUCCCCACAUGUAAAAUUGGGGUUUCAGCUAUUAUUGUUGCUUCAUUGGUUCCCGGGAUGUUAAAUUCAAUUAUGUAAUUACAAGUACAACUGCCAUGAACAGGUUUGGGAACCAACACCUGACUCUUGAUAAGCAUCUGACUUAACUGACGGAGCUGCACGCAAAGGGUGAGCUAGAGACUUGCCCACUGCUGUGAGCAUUCAGCAUGCCAAGGGCCUUAGUCAGUAAGUUUCACACAAGGAAACGGAAAACAUCAGGUAACCCGGGUCAGCGACGCCCAUGAUAGUUAAGAACGACUGUCCUAAAUCUGCCUCCAUCUGUAAUCCAACCCUGGCCACACCUGGGGAGAAUCACCUGGGGAUGUGUAAACAAUACGACAUCCUGGCAACCCCAGAGACUGAUGUAAGUGGUACCAGGUGGGGCCUGGGCAUUUCUCAAAGCUCCCAGAUCUUUACCAGCUGGGAAAAGCACCCGAGGGCUAGAAGGGAAGCCCUGGGAGGGCAGGGCCCGCCUCUCUGAUCUCACAACUGGACACACGGUGCCUGGCAUGGUUCCUGGCCACAGCGGGCCCUCACAUCCUAGCUUUUAAAGGAGUAAAUGGUGGCCACUAGGUUUCAAGCACCAGGGCACAGGCUUGAUCCCCUCUUCCCAGCUUCCCUAUUGUGCCAGUGGGCAGAAACCAACCACACAAUGUUGCUGAGGCCGUGCCCAACAGACAAAGGCACCAAUGGGAAGCCUCAGCGGGGAGCAACACUUCCCCCAGAAACAGUUCCAGGAGGCACCAGGCGCCAGCCAGGGCUGCAGUUAAUCAUUCACCCCACAACACAGGAAGUGAGCCCCACCCCAGUCCCAGCCCCAGCCCCAGGGCUUCCUGAGCUCAGGGCAGGUCCGCAGCCCACACAUCAUCCAGACAAAGGACAGCCCAGCCCAGCCACAGGUGAGGUGGCCUGAUGGCCUGGGGCAAAGGCCCUCGGUCCAGUCUCUUCCCCGUACACCCCAAGUCUGACUUCUCUCAGGAGGGACUCAUGAACACGUGCCCUGAGCACCCCCAAAAUGACAUCACACAAUGGCAGAAAGGAGCUGAAGGGGGAACGUGAAAGGCAGAAAAGGAGCCGUGGUUGCCAGGCAACCAGCCCUAGCCCACCUGUUUGUUUGGUGACAGCAACUAAGGUCUGGUCAGGGCCGCUUGGCCACGCUCACGCCUUUUCCUCUCAACAGUUGCUUCUUUGAGUCAGGGUGCAGCUCUGGUCACCUGGCGGCCUCUUCAGCUCAGCCCUCCACAAAGUGUGAGCCUGAAGGACCACCCUGAACUGCCCUUGUAGGACCCAGAACAGCUACCAGCAGAAUCAGGAGCCAGAGAUGCCAGCUUCCACUUUAAUGUUUGGAACCUUCCUUCCUGGAGUCUUCUGCCCCCUAGUGCAAUCUGGACCGGUUUUCCCUAGGCCUGGAACACAGCUGUCUUUCCGGACUACCCUCCAAUAUUGUCCUGUGCCAAGACUGACUUACUCCUGGGUUGGGAGCAGCCUCCUCUAGCUUACAUCAAGCAUCAUCAGAGUUCAGAAAUCAGCUUCACAAAACUGGAGAGUGGUGGGUCAGACUGAAAGACCUUCUACUGCCCAGGUCUUACCUGGAGUUUUGCUACUUCCUUCCUGAUCAGGAAGCUGACUUGGUCCCGGUCAUUCCUGGAGUAAUAGAGACGGCACCAGGAAGGCUUCCCAUCCCUGCCAGCCCGGCCAGACUCCUG